GGUUAUGGCUCAGUGGUAGAGUGCUUGUCUAGCAUUCAUGAGGCACUAGGUUUGAUCCUCAGCACCA
rnacentral:tRNA from 1 species